rnacentral:tRNA from 1 species
GGUAGUAUGGCCGAGUGGUCUAAGGCGCUGGAUUUAGGCUUCAGGCUCUCUGGAGAUGUGGGUUUGAAUCCCUCCUCUGCCA